GACGAACGCUGGCGGCGUGCUUAACACAUGCAAGUCGAACGGAAAGGCCCUGCUUUUGUGGGGUGCUCGUGUGGCGAGCGGGUGAGUAACACGUGAGUAACCUGCCCUUGUCUUUGGGAUAACUUUAGGAAACUGGGGAUAAUACCGGAUAGGAGCUCCUGCUGCAUGGUGGGGGUUGGUAAGUUUCGGCGGUUGGGGAUGGACUCGCGGCUUAUGAGCUUGUUGGUGGGGUAGUGACGUACCAAGGCUUUGACGGGUAGCCGGCCUGAGAGGGUGACCAGCCACAUGGGGACUAAGAGAAGGACCAGACUCCUACGGGAGGCAACAGUGGGGAAUAUUACACAAUGGGCGGAAGCCUGAUGCAGAAACGCCGCGUGCGGGAUGACGGCCUAGGGGUUGUAAACCGCUGUGGACUGUGACGAAGAGUGAGUGACGGUAAUGAGUAAGGAAGCACCGGCUAACUACGUG
rnacentral:rRNA from 1 species